rnacentral:rRNA from 1 species
AAAGACUGACGCUCAUGCACGAAAGCGUGGGGAUCAAACAGGAUUAGAUACCCUGGUAGUCCACGCUGUAAACGAUGAUCACUCGUUGUUGGCGAUAUACUGUCAGCGACUGAGCGAAAGCAUUAAGUGAUCCACCUGGGGAGUACGGCGGCAACGUUGAAACUCAAAGGAAUUGACGGGGGCCCGCACAAGCGGAGGAGCAUGUGGUUUAAUUCGAUGAUACGCGAGGAACCUUACCUGGGCUUAAAUGCAGGACGACGUUUCGUGAAAACGGAAUUUCCUUCGGGACGUCUUGCAAGGUGCUGCAUGGUUGUCGUCAGCUCGUGCCGUGAGGUGUCGGGUUAAGUCCCAUAACGAGCGCAACCCUUAUCAUUAGUUGCCAUCAGGUCAUGCUGGGAACUCUAAUGAAACUGCCUACGCAAGUAGUGAGGAAGGUGGGGAUGACGUCAAAUCAGCACGGCCCUUAUGUCCAGGGCGACACACGUGCUACAAUGGCCAGUACAGAGGGUUGCGAA